AGUUGGUGCUGAAUUAGUGAUUGGCACUGACAUUAUCCAUCUAUCAGGAGUAAGAUAUGUCACUAACUGCAGCACAAAAAGCUGAAAUCGUUAAAAACUUUGGUCAGGGUGAG
rfam:Idiomarina salinarum strain ISL-52 contig1, whole genome shotgun sequence.